rnacentral:lncRNA from 1 species
CUUCCGCUACGAGAGCCUGGCGCGCGGCUGGGAGCUCAUGGCCAUCUGCCUGGCCUUCUUCCCGCCCACGCCCAAGUUCCACUCCUACCUGGAGGGCUACAUCUACCGGCACAUGGACCCGGUCAACGACACCAAAGGGGUGGCCAUCAGCACCUACGCCAAGUACUGCUACAACAAACUGCAGAAGGCGGCGCUGACCGGGGCCAAGAAGGGCCUGAAGAAGCCGAACCUGGAGGAGAUCCGCCACGCCAAGAACGCCAUCUUCAGCCCGUCCAUGUUCGGCAGCUCGCUGCAGGAGAUCGUGGCCAUGCAGAAGGAGCGCUACCCCGACCGGCAGCUGCCCUGGGUGCAGACCCGGCUCUCCGAGGAGGUCCUGGCCCUCAACGGCGACCAGACCGAGGGCAUCUUCAGGUAAAGCCACCCCACGCCCGGGGACACCUCGUGGUGCUGGUGGUGAGCUGGAGGUUCUCGAGAAGGUUGGGGGUUCUGGGGUGGUUCUGCUCUGGUGGGUGCUGGAAGGUCAUGGGGGUUGGUUUGUGGUGGACAACAAAGUGGUGGUGGAACCAGCCAGGUUCUCCUUGGUGCAUGGGGGUUCCUUCAUGGUGGCCACCAAAGUCAUGGCAAGGUCUUGGUGGCACCAAGGUCCCAAAUCUGCUCCAAGUCCAUGGAGGUUGGUUUGUGGUGGACAGCAAAGUGGUGGUGGAACCAGCCAGGUUCUCCUUGGUCGAUGGGGGUUUCUCCAUGGUGGCCACCACAGUCAUGGUGGGGUCUUGGUGGCACCAAGGUCCC